UGAGUAACCAAACGUUUCUCCCACUGAAAACGUCCAGAUGAACAGGAUCAACUUCAGUCUUCUGACUGAAACCAGCUCACUGGGUCAACAAUGGUUUGUGAGGUUAGUUCCUUGAUAUGCAAAUUAUCAUCACCAUUGAUCGAUGGCCCUGAAUACCAUUCACGGAGUUUUUUAUGGACUGGAGCACUUUCUUAACAGCUUCAGAACAUCAUCCUCAUCAUCACAUCUACCGUGCAACCUUAACUUGCUCUAACAAUAACCAAAACUUCCACUGAGAGAAUAUUGUGAAAUCUGAAUAUUUGUUUCCUUUAACUUGUGAUCAGUAUUGAAAUGGAAAAAAAUGAGACCGUGUGGAGAGAAUAAUGUGGAUCCAAAUGCAGAUAACUAGAGGUGGCCCGCUUGAAGCUGACGCUUUGGUGCGUGUGUCAGAAAAACCAACACACUGCUUCAGAAGCACUGUGUUGAGGCUUGAUUAGUUUGGCCAGAGUCACGUGAUCAUUGACGUCCGGAGCUUCAUUUAGAACAUAAGUGAUUAAGUGGUUUAUAGGGAAGUGAAUCAUUCCCGGGAUUUGUGGAGAGUUUUCAUGGUGACAGAUAGCAAACCACUGAUCAUUCUACUGGGAGCUAUGGAGCCAGUGAGAAAAAGAUUCUGUCGUGUGGGAGUAUUUUGAGUUGACUUUGGUCAGUCAGUCUGUGGGACCCAGGAAGACCGUACACCUGCAUCUCUACAGUUUCUGCACACCAGCGUCUUCUGUUCAUGUGAGAGGAUUUUCUCUGAGCAUGUCUUUCAUCCUGUUUUCCUUCUUCACCCCAACUGGUCGCAGCAGAUGGCCGCCCCUCCCUGAGCCUGGUUCUGCCGGAGGUUUCUUCCUGUUAAAAGGGAGUUUUUCCUUCCCACUGUCGCCAAAGUGCUUGCUCAUAGGGGGUCAUAUGAUAUGAUUGUUGGCCUUUUCUCUGUAUUUAUUAUUGUGCUAUCUACUGUACAAUAUAAAGCGCCUUGAGGCGACUUUUGUUGUGAUUUGGCGCUAUAUAAAUAAAAUUGAAUUGAAUUGAAUUGAAUACGAUAAACUAACAAAGACGUAAACUUGAACAGCUAAACUUAACGGUGUGAAAUACAAAGAAAACCAACAAAGAAACCAAUAAUACAAAACAUCUGAAACUAGGAACCGGUGGCACUAAAACACCUGGGAUGACAUUCAGGACGAUAAUCAGACAAUUGGGGAAGGAAAAGAGGGAAACACAGUAAAAAUACACAAGCAGGGCAACGAGAGGAUGGGGAACAGGUGGGAACAUGGCUGGGAUUAAUCACAUGUGACAAGGCGGGCAAGAGAGCAAAACUGAGGGCAUUGACACAGAACACCGAUUGUCAAAGUAAAACAGGAAGUACAAGACAGACACAGAGGCGCAGACACUGGGGCAUGGAAACAUGACUGGAGGAAAGGUGAGGCACAGGAACAGAACAGAAAUCAGGAACACUAAGUAUAGUACAACAGAAAACCAUAAUACAAAGAAUGAAACUUCACCCAAAAACACAAAACACUGGGUAACAAACCCAGGACCGUGACAACUUCAGCUGAUGUUGUGUUACAAAUAAUUUCUUCUUAACUCUGGGAUAUGUGCACAUGGCCUUUCAGUCAGUCCAUGAAAACCAAACUAUGAUGUCUAAAGUAAGCAGCAAGAGAAUGUCUUCUGUUUGUCUCCUCGCUGGCAGGAGAAUGGAUAAUAAUGACUCAAAGGCUAAAACAUCUAACACUGUCACAGUGGGGAUUUUUAAACACACGAAACAAAAUAAAAUAAGAGAUGAAAUAUUAUCUUUCAGCAGACAACUCCACAGCAUAUUAACAUUUAAUAUAAAAAGAACAAAGGCUUGUCACAUAAAAGACUGUAAUGUUAUAGCUCAUUCGGGUAAACACACCACCACUCUGAGGGGUCCAACACUUGGGUAUUCAUCUUUAGUGGUUCAUGUGCUUUCUCUGGGUUUUGGAAAGGUGGACAUACCCGUGUGGGAACCCUUGGUUUCUAGUGUACGAAAACACUGGAAACCAAACAAACCCCUUUGGGUGAAGGACACCAAUGUUCACAUUUAGGACAGAGAAGAUGGUUUGAAAGAGGAGUGAAAGAAGCCAUUUAUGUGCACUGUGCACAAAGAGCACAGUGCACAAAACUGUAGGAUUAACAUGCCGUUUAAUAGGGCUGAUAAAAAGAUAUAAACAAGGGGCAAAGGCAAAACUAAUGCAAAACCUAACAUUGAGCUAAACUGGGUUUAGGUUAAAGUUUGACAAAACCCACAGCUCACAAACAACGUGGAGCAAUCCCACACACACAUAGAUGGUUUGUUACACGCAGUGAGUAGGGCCAGCUUUACUCACACAGCCUCAGAUUUUUAAAGUUAGAUGUAACAGAUGUAACUUCCACUUUUGAUUAAGAUCACUCCAUCUGCAUAUUUCUUAAGUGUCUUUAUUAAGCCCUUAUUUAUAAAUGUCUACACAAUAAUAGACACUGUGUGCUCUGUGACAUUAUAGUCUUCUACUUCUGCUUCCAUUAGUUUGCAUUUUAAACUCCCACCGCCGUUAUGGACGGCUUAUAUUUCUAACAUUUUGUAAUGUAAGUGAACCACGUGGCUUUUUUAUUUUCUGUAUGAUGGAAUGAGUUAAGACACAAGUUAUUGAAACAAUUCUAAAUGACAGUGUGAUGAUUCUUUAUGAGGGAAAAAUAUGUUAAGGAUAAUGUUUCUCAAUGUAAAAUUGCAAAGAACUUUUGGAUAGGAUACAACAUUUUAUAAACAGUUACCUCAGAACCUGCCGAUAUUCAAGCUGAAGAAAAUUAAAAGUUUUUUUGUUGCUCUACAGAUUAAAGAGAAAUAUGUUUAACGAUUCAACAAGAGCCACACCUUCAACACAUAUACAUUCAAAUUUUGGAUCAGGCUCAACAUUGCUGUUGUUCAGUAGUUUUUAGCCGCUCUCAAAAGUCAUUUUAUGGCUUUAAUAUUUCCAGCUGAUAAGGAGACUUACAGCAUUUCAAAGGGUAAAUGGACUGAUUCUUAUUUAGUGCUUUUCUCUCUUCCAGAGUACUCAAAGCGCUCUAUACAACAUGCCUCAUUCAUGCAAGCACUUCUAAACACAAGUGCAAACUAAUCUACAUUCACACACAGUCACACUCCGAGGAAUGCAUCGGAUUUGGGGUUAGUAUCUUGCCCAAGGACACUUAGCAUGCAGACUGAGGAAGUCUAGGAUCGAACCACCAAGCUUCUGAUCAGUAGCUGAUCUGCUCUACCACCUGAGCCACAGACGUCCAAGUGCUAUAAACAUCCACUUUGUCUGCAACGACAGUAUCAAACUACAGAGUAUUGUUUUUACUAAAAUUGUACAUUUUCAGGUGAAAAUUUGGCUGCUCCCCCCCCCUCACUGUUACACCCCCUCACUGUUACACCCCCCCUCAAUACCAUUUCUUAGGAUGAUCUUCUUGGAUAUUCUUUUUUUUUAAUAUUUAUCCUUUUGGAGUGAGGGUAUCUAAUACGCACAUUGUCACUGUGUUUUGUACUACCAACUGCGAGGGCUCUGCUUUUACUUUGAGCAGUCUGUUUUUAUUUUGUCUCGUGAGUGCGUGUUUUUCAAACCAGAUCUUCAUCAGUUUGAUUUUGUCACCACAAACUUUGUGUGAACUUCACAACAGAGGUAAAGAGAUUGAAACACACCAGUUUAAGGAGGCAGCGGUUGGACCAGCUGCACAGGACAGGUGAAGAAGAGAGUGUCAGGGGAGACGUGCAAAGAAGCAGAGGGAACAUUUUACAAGAUGAUAAAUGGCAGAUUUAGAUGACUAAGGUCUUUGUUGUCAAGAUUAAAAGACACCUCACAAUCACAAUCAUUUGACACCUCUCAGUCGACUGAUUGUGUUAGUGAAAAAGCAGCUAAAUACACUGAGAUUGCGCCACGUUGUUUGUGAGCUGUGGGUUUUUGUCAAACUUGGAGUGAACAAAAGCAGAAAAACAGUAAAAGAUUCGGACAUUGAGAUUCUGGUUUAUUUCAUGAAUACAAUGAAACAUUUUACAGUCCACAGAGCAAAGUAGCAUACAUGAUAAAUAGAUACAUAUAACACGGACCGUGAGAAGUUAAACUGUCAUCA